rnacentral:rRNA from 1 species
UACCAGCACCCCGAGUGGUCGGGACGAUUAUUGGGCCUAAAGCAUCCGUAGCCGGUCUUGCAAGUCUUCCGUUAAAUCCAGCUGCUUAACGGAUGGGCUGCGGAAGAUACUACAAGACUAGGAGGCGGGAGAGGCAAGCGGUACUCAGUGGGUAGGGGUAAAAUCCUCUGAUCCUUUGAAGACCACCAGUGGCGAAGGCGGCUUGCCAGAACGCGCUCGACGGUGAGGGAUGAAAGCUGGGGGAGCAAACCGG